rnacentral:misc_RNA from 1 species
AAUUAUUGGAUCAUCUUCAUACCUGAACCAACAACAAAAACGUAGAUUAUAGAACUUCAUGAUAUAUGACAUCAAAAACUUUAAACCAAACCAAGAUCUUAGAGUCUUGCACAGAAACAAAUGAAGUUGAUCUUUUACAUCAUUUGACAGUACAAUACGAACUAAGAGUACUCUAAAUUGAAUGAUUUUUGGGGAUCUACAU